rnacentral:tRNA from 1 species
GCCCGCCUAGCUCAGUGGCAGAGCAGCUCACUCGUAACGAGCAGGUCGGGGGUUCAAGUCCCCCGGUGGGCU